ACGCUGGCGGCAGGCCUAACACAUGCAAGUCGAGCGGUAGAGAGAAGCUUGCUUCUCUUGAGAGCGGCGGACGGGUGAGUAAUGCCUAGGAAUCUGCCUGGUAGUGGGGGAUAACGUUCGGAAACGGACGCUAAUACCGCAUACGUCCUACGGGAGAAAGCAGGGGACCUUCGGGCCUUGCGCUAUCAGAUGAGCCUAGGUCGGAUUAGCUAGUUGGUGAGGUAAUGGCUCACCAAGGCGACGAUCCGUAACUGGUCUGAGAGGAUGAUCAGUCACACUGGAACUGAGACACGGUCCAGACUCCUACGGGAGGCAGCAGUGGGGAAUAUUGGACAAUGGGCGAAAGCCUGAUCCAGCCAUGCCGCGUGUGUGAAGAAGGUCUUCGGAUUGUAAAGCACUUUAAGUUGGGAGGAAGGGCAGUUACCUAAUACGUGAUUGUUUUGACGUUACCGACAGAAUAAGCACCGGCUAACUCUGUGCCAGCAGCCGCGGUAAUACAUAGGGUGCAAGCGUUAAUCGGAAUUACUGGGCGUAAAGCGUGCGCAGGCGGUUUUGUAAGUCUGAUGUGAAAUCCCCGGGCUCAACCUGGGAAUUGCAUUGGAGACUGCAAGGCUAGAAUCUGGCAGAGGGGGGUAGAAUUCCACGUGUAGCAGUGAAAUGCGUAGAUAUGUGGAGGAACACCGAUGGCGAAGGCAGCCCCCUGGGUCAAGAUUGACGCUCAUGCACGAAAGCGUGGGGAGCAAAC
rnacentral:rRNA from 1 species